rnacentral:rRNA from 1 species
AGCGAACGCUGGCGGUAGGCCUAACACAUGCAAGUCGAACGGCAGCACAGUAAGAGCUUGCUCUUACGGGUGGCGAGUGGCGGACGGGUGAGGAAUAUAUCGGAAUCUACUUUUUCGUGGGGGAUAACGUAGGGAAACUUACGCUAAUACCGCAGACGACCUACGGGUGAAAGCAGGGGAUCUUCGGACCUUGCGCGAUUGAAUGAGCCGAUGUCGGAUUAGCUAGUUGGCGGGGUAAAUGCCCACCUAGGCGGCGAUCCGUAGCUGGUCUGGGAGGAUGAUCAGCCACAUUGGAACUGAGACACGGUCCAGACGCCUACGGGAGGCAGCAGUGGGGAAUGUUGGACAGUGGGCGCGAGCCUGAUCCAGUCAUACCGCGUGUGUGAAGAAGGCGUUCGGGUUGUAAAGCCCUUUUGUUGGUAAAGAAACGCAUCCGGUUAAUACCACGCUGUUCUGACGGUACCCAGAGAAUAAGCACCGGCUAACUUCGUG